rnacentral:rRNA from 1 species
AGUGAACGCUGGCGGUAGGCCUAACACAUGCAAGUCGAACGGCAGCACAGUAAGAGCUUGCUCUUACGGGUGGCGAGUGGCGGACGGGUGAGGAAUACAUCGGAAUCUACUUUUUCGUGGGGGUUCACGUAGGGAAACUUACGCUAAUACAGCAUACGACCUACGGGUGAAAGCAGGGGAUCUUCGGACCUUGCGCGGUUGAAUGAGCCGAUGUCGGAUUAGCUAGUUGGCGGGGUAAUGGCCCACCAAGGCGACGAUCCGUAGCUGGUCUGAGAGGCUGAUCAGCCACACGGGAACUGGGACACGGUCCAGACUCCUACGGGAGGCAGCAGUGGGGAAUAUUAGACAAUGGGCGCAAGCCUGAUCCAGCCAUACCGCGUGGGUGAAGAAGGCCUUCGGGUUGUAAAGCCCUUUUGUUGGGAAAGAAAAGCAGCAGGUUAAUACCCCGCUGUUCUGACGGUACCCAAAGAAUAAGCACCGGCUAACUUCGUG